GUGGGGAAUCUUGCGCAAUGGGCGAAAGCCUGACGCAGCCAUGCCGCGUGGAUGAUGAAGGUCUUAGGAUUGUAAAAUCCUUUCACCGGUGAAGAUAAUGACUGUAGCCGGAGAAGAAGCCCCGGCUAACUUCGUGCCAGCAGCCGCGGUAAUACGAAGGGGGCUAGCGUUGCUCGGAAUUACUGGGCGUAAAGGGAGCGUAGGCGGACAUUUAAGUCAGGGGUGAAAUCCCGAGGCUCAACCUCGGAACUGCCUUUGAUACUGGGUGUCUUGAGUGUGAGAGAGGUGAGUGGAACUCCGAGUGUAGAGGUGAAAUUCGUAGAUAUUCGGAAGCACACCAGUGGCGAAGGCGACUCACUGGCUCAUUACUGACGCUGAGGCUCGAAAGCGUGGGGAGCAAACAGGAUUAGAUACCCUGGUAGUCC
rnacentral:rRNA from 1 species